AGUGGCAUCAGCGAUGGCGGCUGCGUCGGGGUCGGUUCUGCAGCGCUGUAUCGUGUCGCCGGCAGGGAGGCAUAGCGCCUCUCUGAUCUUCCUGCAUGGCUCAGGUGAUUCUGGACAAGGAUUAAGAAUGUGGAUCAAGCAGGUUUUAAAUCAAGAUUUAACAUUCCAACACAUAAAAAUUAUUUAUCCAACAGCUCCUCCCAGUUACACUGUUGGACCAAGUUUUGCCAGAUCAUAUACUCCUAUGAAAGGAGGAAUCUCCAAUGUAUGGUUUGACAGAUUUAAAAUAACCAAUGACUGCCCAGAACACCUUGAAUCAAUUGAUGUCAUGUGUCAAGUGCUUACUGAUUUGAUUGAUGAAGAAGUAAAAAGUGGCAUCAAGAAGAACAGGAUAUUAAUAGGAGGAUUCUCUAUGGGAGGAUGCAUGGCAAUACAUUUAGCAUAUAGAAAUCAUCAAGAUGUGGCAGGAGUAUUUGCUCUUUCUAGUUUUCUGAAUAAAGCAUCUGCUGUUUACCAGGCUCUUCAGAAGAGUAAUGGUGUACUUCCUGAAUUAUUUCAGUGUCAUGGUACUGCAGAUGAGUUAGUUCUUCAUUCUUGGGCAGAAGAGACAAACUCAAUGUUAAAAUCUCUAGGAGUGACCACGAAGUUUCAUAGUUUUCCAAAUGUUUACCAUGAGCUAAGCAAAACUGAGUUAGACAUAUUGAAGUUAUGGAUUCUUACAAAGCUGCCAGGAGAAAUGGAAAAACAAAAAUGAAUGAAUCAAGAGUGAUUUGUUAAUGUCAUUAGCUAUUGUUAGUGUUAGUGUAUUUUUUGUGUGGCCCAAGACAAUCUUCUUCCAGUGUGGCCCAGGGAAGCCAAAAAAUUGGACACACUUGAUGUAAACAUUUCAAGAAAAUUCAGACUAUAUGAUCACUCAAGACAGCCGAUUCACCAGCCUUCUGAAGGGAAGACUAAGCAUAUUCCUAUAUUGAAGAAGGAAAGAUAUCCAUGAUGGUGAUGCCACUAAAUAGAAGCAUCUUGGAUCUUACUAUUUGGAGUAGAACCACACAAGGAGAAGCCAUCCAACCUACAUAAGACUAUGACUGGCUUCUGACAAAAUCUAAACUGCACACUGUGGACUCGAGUCGAUAAACAACAGAGAGACUAAGACUGCAUGAAGUUAGGAGAUGGACCAUCAUGAAGGAAUAUCCUCUGUGUGUCGGGGGAUGUGGGGAGUUAGCCAUAUCUUUGGUUCAUGUUAGGUUUAAUGGUUAACAAAUUAAAAUGCUAAAGAAUGUUAUGAGUGAACCUCUUUUCCCUUUUGUUUUCUGAUUUUCUGCAAAACUUCUGUUCACAUAGCAAUCCUGGUUUUGUGCCCCAUCUUCUCCUUGCCCCAUGAAAGAGAAUGGAGUUAUCUGAUUGGCAGAUGCCAUCCGUGGUCCGUAUUUCUCAACUGAGUAGAAACUGACUCACUAAAAGGCAGCAAGCCCCAGAUCAAUAAGAGGCAGAAAUCUUAUUCUCUAGUGAUACUGCAGGAUCCUCUAAUGAGAUCCUGUAGGCAAGCUGGCCCAAGGUCUAGACUUAGACUUCAUUAACAUAUCUAAAGUCAUGUUAUCCAAUCGGCUUUAUUAGUACUAAAGCUGACAUUUCUAUCUUUAUCUAGGUCUGAUUUCUCAAAUGUAUCUGAACAUGAGAGGAGAGGAAAAAAGAUAUUAUUUACUGAUUCCUUCUUAUGCAUCCUGCAUUCUCACCCUAACCUGGAGUGGCCGACACCAGAACUCUCUCCCUUUAUGACAAGCAAAUGCCCCGUUUACAAGUAGACAACCUUAAUUUACAUUGUUUUUCUCUUGGAGACAGGGUCUCACCCUGUUGCCCAGGCUCAAGUGCAGUGGCACAAUUAUGGCUCACUGCAGCCUUGAUCUCCAGUGUUCAAGUGAUCCUCCCACCUCAGCCUCCUGAGUAGCUGGGACUACAGCACAUGCCACCAUGCCCAGCUAAUUGUUGUAUUUUUUGUAGGGAUGGAGUUUCACCAUAUUGCCCAGGCUGGUCUCAAAUUCCUGGGCUCAAAUGAUCCUUCUGCACUGGCCUCCCAAAAUGCUGAGAUUUCAGGCCUGAGCCACUGUGCCCGGCCUAACUUACACUUUCUAUAAAAUAAAGAAACAUGUAAUGGGAAGGCCGGAACCUUAAAUUGAAAAACACCUAAGUUAAACUGCUGGCCCAUUAUGAUGUGACUGUGAGCACAUACACCUUCUUCCCUGUAUCUGUUUUCUCAUUUGAAAAGUGAGGAUAAUAUCUCUCUGGCAAGACUAUUUUGAGUAUUAAAAUAGACAUGUAAUUAUGUGCCUAAUAUCACAUCUGGUGCAGUAGAUAUUAAGCAAAAGAUUAUUCUUUGUUAGCAAUUAUAACUACUUCUUAAGCAAAAUCAAAUUUUCAUGAUAAUGUGUUGCAUUUUCUAGUACAUUAUAGUCAAUAAAUGUUCAUUCCUUUUACUCCAGACUUACACUCUAACGAAUGAGUAAUAGAAUCCAAAGUAAAGAAAUUUUGUUUUGUUUGUUAAAUUAAAAAGUGCAAUGCAAAAAUCUUAUAAAGAAACAUCUGUCAAGUGAAAUUCAUAAGUUUCUUUACUUGAGAAAGUUCUAGUUUGUGCUUCAUUAUUUAUGGUACAGGUUUAAGAUCAUGUUGGGUGGCCCAGCUGUUUCUCCUGUUCAUUAGGAACGCUGGGCACUGCAUACUUCUUAAAUCCAAAAGCAAUAGCUCUUUCCCUUAUGAUCCAGCUCAAGAUGUAGUUAGAGUUAGCUGGACCAAAGGCUGAGUAGGACUAUUAACCAGAACUAGGCUCUGCUUCUCCAGCUUUGCAUGCUUUCUGUGGUUUAUAAUGUGAUUGGUAACCAGGAAAGCUCAAUAUGACUAUGUGGGUUAAAAUGUAUGCAAAAUAAUAAACAACAGCUUCAGCUUAGGAGAGGCACCAUGUUUAUUCAAGAAUAUGACAUGAUAGCAGUUGGCUUCUGGCAUAUGAGUUCUUUCUUAAGGCAAACAUCAAAUGACCCAUGUUAGACUUUUUUUUUAUUAAAGCCUCAUGCACAUGGUGCUUAGUUGAUUUUUAGAAGAAAUCAAUGAGAAAUGUAGGUGAGUACAGGGGAAAAGGGUAGAGAGGGUUAAAAAAAACCUAUGAAAACAUGAAAUCAACUUUAGGGAUUUUUUUAAUCCUUGAAAAAGUAAUAUUACUGAAUCAAAUGAUAGUCUCUCUAUUAAGAAAACACUAUACCACUUCUCAAAGUAUUUCUUAAUAUGCAUCUAAAGUUUCAUUGUUAAAGAGUCAAAUUUUCCAAAUCAGAGAAAAGUAUUACUUCAUGGUUCCCAAGUUUCCAAUCACUUAACAUAUGAAACAUUGAAGUUUUAAGAGUCAAAUGCUCCAAGUGAAAAGCAUCUGUUUGAUGUCGACGAGGUCCUGACAAAUUCAGUGUUAAAAGACUCUUUGUGCUGCUCUUUGAAAAUAUAUCACUUUAUAAUAAAUCUCUGGGCUCUGACACUCUUGGUGAUGAGGUUUGCUUUACAGACUUAUGCAAGAGGAUGUUUGCCACACCUGGCUCUUUGUGAGAUGAGAGUGGCAGAUUUUAAAAUAGAAAUUAGCAUAGAGCUUCAGGUUUAGAUGCUGACCUAAGUGCCUUUAUUUUCUUUAAAUUUGAGACAUAUAUUAUCAGAAGGGUGAAGGUUCUCUCCUCUCCUAUCUGAUUUUUGAUUUCUCCUUUAUUUCCAGAAAAGAAGUUAUCAAAUUAUAAAGCAUGCCAGGAAUUAAAGCUGUUGAAAAUUUAAUUAUGAAAGUUGUCAAGACUGUGUCAUUAUGGCACUAAUAACUUCAGAUUGUUGGUAACGAUUAUUUCAGCCAUUGUGGGGACUGGCUUAUUUGCACAGAGACUGCAUUCGAUGUAAAAUUUUCUAUUUUGUGGUUGCUUCAGGGCGUGAAGGCUAUAGUAAAAAUAAAUAGCUUACUCAACAUUGAAGAGUAUUGUGAUGAUGAAUUAGACACCUAAAAUUAGCAUACUUCUUUAAAAUAUUAUAUGUUCAGUAUAGAACUUUUAGACACCACAGAUAAACGCAAAGAAAAUAAAUCCUAUAAUCUAGAAACAAGCACUUUGGCAUACACUGAUUUCUCCUUACACACACAAAUUCACAAACACACAGAAAUAUGUAUAUGUCUUUAAAAAAACAUGUACCCCUUCACAAAUUGUCCAAGAUAGUGGUUGUAUUCAAAUAAUAUAUUGGGACCAUUAUUCACUUACUCUCUCUUUUUCUCUCUGGUGUGUGUGAGAGAAUGGUUGCAUAUUUCAUUAUGUGGAUAUCUCACAAUGAAACCAUCACGUAGCUAAAGAACUAGAUGGUCAUCAGUGACUUACAUAUACUCUCAGGCUUCUCAUCUAUUUCAUUCCUUUUCCCUCCACUAUCACAAGUCUCCCGGCCUUCUAUCAUUCUUUCCCUUUAAAAAAAUAAACUAUACACACACGCACACAGUAUGUGGCUUAUUUUCUCUGGUAUUUGGCCUUUGUAAAAAUGGGAUCAUCUUGUUAAUGGCCCUCUUUCAUCACUCAACAUUAUGUUUAAAGAUUCAUUCAUAAUACUGAAUGUAAUUCACUCCUGUGUAAUAUUCCAUAGUGUUAAAAUGCCACCAUUUCUCCAUUCUGCUAUUGAUGUACAUUUGAGUUGUUAGGGAUUUGUGUGUGUGUGUGUUGCUCUUAUGAGCACCACUGACAUGAAUAUUCUUAUGCAUGUCUCUUGAUGUGCAAAAAUAUCAAGGAGUGAAAAUGCUGGAUCAUAGGUGAUGCUAAUGUUUGGCUAUACAAUAAAAUAUCAAAUUAUUUUUCAAAGUGAAUUCUAUCAAUUUACACUCUCAUGCAAAUCAUACAAAAGUGCAUGAAAGUACUAGUUGCUUCAUAUUGUUGCCCACCCUUGGUAAUUUCUAUCUUUUCUCAUUUUAGCACUUGUUGUUUUGCUUUAGUGGUAUGCACUGUGCUUUAAUUAACAUUUCGCUGAUAACUAGUGAAACUGAACACUUAUUUGCGUGUUGAUAGACAUUGGGAUAUUUACUUUUCUAAAGUGUCUGCUCAUAUCUUUUGUCCAUUUCCCAUUUGCUUUUUGUUUGUUUAAUUGUAAGAAUUUUAAAGAUCAUAAUCUGAGUUUAUUGUUGCACAGACUGGUGACAUAUAGUCUCCCAUUCUUUGCUUUUUCACUCUCUUUGUGGUGUCUUGAUAAAUUAAGAAACUACUAAUGUUAAUUUAAGCCAAUUUAUUAAUUUUCUUGUUUAUGUUUAGCAUCUUUUGAGUAGCACCAGUGGUGUUAAGGAAAUAUUUUUGUCUACACCAAAGUCACAAAGUUAUUCUUCUGUGUUUAAAAGCUUAAGUAUAUUACUCUUUAGAUCUAUAUUCUAUAUAAUUUGAUUUUUGUAUAUGGUAUAGAAGGAAUCAAGAUUCACUUUUUUCUGUAUGGAUAUUCAACUUACAUAGAACCAUUUACUGAAAUGAUUACCCUUUCCCUACCACACUGCCCUGUUACCCUUGUUGUAAUCUUGUGACCACAUAUCUGUGUUUGUUUCUAUUCCCUCUGUUCUUUUGGCCUAUUCUUGAAGCGAUGGCUCAAAGCAUUAAUUAGUAUCAUUUUAUAAUAAGUCUUGAGGCCUUGUGGCAUAAGUCUUGGCAUUGUAUUUCAUUUUUAUUUUAACUUUUAUUUUAGGUUUGAGGGUACAUGUGAAGGUUUGUUACAUAGGUAAACAUGUGUCAUGGGGAUUUAUUGUACAUAUUAUUUCAUCAGACAUUAUUUUCUUCAUGUGUUAGUUUGUUAAGGAUAUUUUUCUCCGGCUUUAUCCAUGUCCCUGCAAAAGACAUGAUCUCAUUCUUUUUAUGGCUGCAUAGUAUUCCAUGGUGUAUACAUACCACAUUUUCUUUAUCCAAUCUGUCAUUGAUGGGUGUUUAGGUUGAUUUCACGUCUUUACUAUUGUGAAUAGUGCUGCAAUGAACAUUCACAUGCAUGUGUCUUUAUGAUACAAUGAUUUAUAUUCCUCUGGAUAUAUACCCAAUAAUGGGAUUGCUGGGUAAAAUGUUAGUUCUGCUUUUAGCUUUUUUGAGGAAUCGCCAUACUGCUUUCCACAAUGGUUGAACGAAUUUACACUCCCACCAACAGUGUAUAAGUGUUGCCUUUUCUCUGCAAUCUUGCCAGCAUCUAUUGUUUUUUGGCUUUCCAAUAAUAGCCAUUCUGACUGGUGUGAGAUAGUAUCUCAUUAUGGCUUUGAUUUUCAUUUCUCUAAUGAUCAGAGAUAGUGAAUUUUUUUUCACAUGCUUGUUGGCUGCAUGGCUGUUUAUGUCCUUUGCCCACUUUUUAAUGGGGUUGUUUUUCUCAUAAAUUUGUUUAAGUUCCUUAUAAAUGCUGGGUGUUAGACCUUUGUCAGGUGCAUAGUUUGCAAUUUGUUCUCCCAUUCUGUAGGUUUUCUGUUUAUGGAUGGUUUGUUUUUCUGUUUGUUUUUUGCUGUGUGGAAGCUCUUCAGUUUAAUUAGUUCCCAUUUGUCAAUUUUUGUUUUCAUUGCAAUUGCUUUUGGUGUUUUUGUCAUUAAAUAUUUGCCUGUUCCUAUGUAUUGCCUAGGUUGUCUUCUAGGGUUUUUAUAAUUUGGGGUUUUACAUUUAAGUCUUUGAUCCAUCUUGAGUUGAUUUUGCAUGUGGCAUAAGGAAAGGGUCCAGCUUCAAUCUUCUGCAUAUGGCUAGCCAGUUAUCCUAGCAUCAUUUAUUAAAUAGGGAGUCUUUUCCCCACUGAUUUUUUUUUGUCAGCUUUGUCAAAGAUCAGAUGGUUGUAAAUGUGCAGCCUUAUUUCGGGGCUCUCUAUUCUGUUUCAUUGGCCUGUGUGCCUCUUUUUGUAUCAGUACCAUAGUGUUUUGAUUACUGUAGCCUUGUAGUAUAGUUGGAAGUUGCAUAAUGUGAUGCCUCCAGCUUUGUUCUUUUGGCUUAGGAUUGUGUUGUCUAUUCAGGCUCCUUUUUGGUUCCAUAUGAAUAUUAAAAUAGCUUUUUCUAGUUCUGUAAAGAAUGUAGCUGAUAGUUUGAUAGGAAUAGCAUUGAAUCUAUAAAUUGCUUUGGGCAGUAUAGUCAUUUUAGUGAUAUUGAUUUUUCCUAUCCAUGAGCAUGAGCUGUUUUUCCAUUUCUUUGUGUCUUUUCUGAUUUCUUUGAGCAGUGUUUUGUAAUUCUCAUUGUAGAGACCUUUCACUUCAUGUGUAUUCCUAGCUGUAUUCCUAGAUAUUUUACUCUUUUUUGUGGCAUUUGUGAAUGGGAUUGCCUUUCUGAUUUGGCUGUUGGUUUGGCUGUUGUUGGUUUAUAGGAAUGCUACUGAUUUUUGCAUAUUGAUUUUGUAUCCUGAGGCAUUGCUGAAAUUGCUCAUCAUCUGGAGGAACUUUUGGGCUGAGACUAUGGGAUCUUCCAGAUAUAGAGUCAUAUCAUCUGCAGAGAUAGUUUGACUUCCUCUCUUCCUAUUUGGAUGCCCUUUAUUUCUUUCUCUUCCCUGAUUGGUCUAGCUGGGACUUCCAAUACUAUGUUGAAUAGAAGUGGUAGGACAGGGCAUCCUUGUCUUGUCCCAGUUUUCAAGGUGAAGACUUCUGGCUUUUGCCCAUUCAGUAUAAUGUUGGCUAUAGGUUUGUCAUAGAUGGCUCUUAUUAUUUUGAGGUAUGUUCCUUCGAUACCUAGUUUAUUGAGAGUUUAUAACAUGAAAGGGUGUGUUAUAUUUUAGCAAAAGCCUUUUUCUGUAUCUAUUGAGAUAAGCAUGUGGUUUUUGUCUUUACUUCUGUUUAUGUGAUGAAUCACAUUUAUUGAUUUGUGUAUGUUAAAUCAACCUUCCAUCUCAGGGAUGAAGCCUACCUGAUGAUGGUGGAUUACUUUUUGAUGUGCUGCUAGAUUCAGUUUACAAUAAUUUUGUUGAGGAUUUUUGCAUCAUUGUUCAUCAAGGAUAUUAGCCUGAAGUUUUCUUUUGUUGUUGUGUCUCUGCCAGGUUUUGGUAUCAAGAUAAUGCUGGCCUCAUAGAAUGAGUUGAGGAGGAGUCCCUCCUUUCCAGUUUUUUGGAACGGUUUCUGUAGGAAGGGUACCAGCUCAUCUUUGUACAUCUGGUACAAUCUGGUUGUGAAUCCGUCAGGUCCCAGGCUUCGUUUGGUUGGUAGGCUAUUUAUUACUGAUUCAAUUUCAGAGUUUCUUAUUGGUCUUUUCAGGGCAUAAAUUUCUUCUUCCUGGCUCAGUCUUGAGAGAAUGUAUGUGACCAUGAUUUUAUCCACCUCGUCUAGGUUUUCUAGUUUGUGUGCAUAGAGGUGUUUGUAGUAGUUUCUGAUGGUUGUAUUUAUUUCUGUGGGGACAGUAGUAACGUUCCCUUUGUCAUUUCUAAUUGUAUUUAUUUGGAGUUCCUCUAUUAUCUUUUUUAAUAGUCUAGCUAGUGGCCUAUUUUAUUAAUUUUUUUCAAGAAAACAACUCCUGGAUUUAUUGAUCUUUUUAAUAACUUUUUGUGUCUUGAUUUCCUUCAGUUCAACUCUAAUUUUGUAUUUUUCUCCUCUGCUAGCUUAGGGGUUGAUUUGUUCUUCUCUAAUUCUUUCAGUUGUGCAGUUAGGUUGUUAAUUGAGAUCUUUCUAACUUUUUGAUAUAGGCAUUAAGUGCUAUGAAUUUCCCUCUUAACACUGCCUUAGUUGUGUUCCAGAGAUUCUGGUAUGUUGUAUCUUGGUUCUUAUUAUUUUCAAAGAACUUCUUGAUUUCUGCCUCAAUUUCAUUAUUUACCCAAAAGUCAUUCCAGAGCAUGCUGUUUAGUUUCCAUAUAAUUGCUUGUUUUUUUAGUGAUUUUCAUAGUCUUUACUUCUAUUUUUACUGAGCUGUGGUCCAAGACUGUGUUUAGUAGAUUUCAGUUCUUUUACAUUUGCUGAGGAUUGUUUUAUGUCUAAUUAUGUGGUUCGUUUUAGAGUAUGUGCCAUGUGGCAAUGAGAAGAAUGUAUAUUCUGUUGUUUUUGGGUGGAGAGUUCUAUGAAGGUCUAUCAGAUCCAUUUGGUCCAGUGUUGAGUUUAGGUUCUGAAUAUUUUUGUUAAUUUUCUGCCUCAAUGAUUUGUCUAAUACUGUCAGUGGAGUGUUGAAGUCUCCCACUAUUAUUGUGUGGUUGUUUAUGUUGCUUUGUAGGUCUCUAAGAACUUGCUUUAUGAAUCUGGGUGCUCCUAUGUUGGGUGCAUAUAUAAAUUUAGGAUAGUUGACUCUUCUUGCUGAAUUGAACCCUUUACCAUUAUGUAAUGCCCUUCUUUGUCUUUUUGGAUCUUUGUGGCUUUGAACUCUGUUUUGUCUGAAAUUAAGAUCGCAACCCCUGCUUUUUUCUGUUUUACAUUUGCUUGGUAGGUUUUCCUCUAUCCCUUUAUUUUAAGCUUAUGAGUGUCAUUACGUUUGAGACGGAUCUCUUGAAGAUGGCAUACCAAUGGGUCUUGCUUUUUUAUCCAGCUUGUCACUCUGUGCCUUUUAUUUGGGGCAUUUAUUCCCUUUGCAUUCAAGGUUUAGUACUGAAUGUAUGAAUUUGAUUUUGUCAUUGUGCUGUUAGCUGGUUAUUAUGUUAACUUGUUUUUGUGGUUGCUUUAUAGUGACACUGGUCUGUGGGUUUAAGUGUGUUUUUGUAUUAGCUGGUAGUGGUCUUUUCUGUCCAUAUUUAGGACUCCUUUCAAGAUCUCUUUAAGGCAAGUCUGGUAGUAAUGAAUUCCCUCAACAUUUGCUUAUCUGCAAAGGAUCUUAUUUUCCUUUCACUGAGGAAGCUUAGUUUAACUGGAUAUGACAUUCUUUGUUGAAGACUUUUUACUUUAAGAGUUUUGAACAUAGGCCCCCAGUUUCUUCCAGCCUGUAGAAUUUCAGUUGAGCCGUCCACUGUUAGCCUAAUGGGGUCCCCUUUGUAAGUAACCUGCCCUUUCUGUCUAGCUGCCUUUAACAUUCUUUCAUUUCAACCUUGGAGAAAGCUCAAUUACGUGUUUUGGGGAUGAUCUUCUUGUGUAGAAUCUUGCAGUUCUCUGUAUUAACUGAAUUUGGCUGUUGGCCUCUCUAGCAAGGUUGGAGAAGUUUUCAUAGAUGAUAUCAUGAAAUAUAUUUUCCAAGUUGUCUGCCCUCCCUUUAAGGGAUGCCAAUGAUUUGUAGAUUUGGUCUCUUUACAUAAUCCCAUAGUUGUCGAACGUUUUGUUCCUUACUUUUCAUUCUUUUUUAUUUAUUUUUGUCUGACUAUCUUAUUUCAGAGAACCAGACUUCACAUUCUGAGUUCUUUUCCUCAGCUCGGUUUAUUCUGCUAUUAAUUAUUUCUUCCUAAAGAAAGCCUUGACUUUUAUAGGCUCUUUAAAUUUCUAUAUAAAUAUUGGAAUCAGCAGGUAUAUUGACAUUUUGAUUGAAAUUGUAUUAAAAUUAUGGAUGAAUUUGGGGAGAAUUGACAUUAUUAUAAUAACUUUUAUUUUUUAUAAAUAUGGUAUAUAUACUCCAUUUAUUUAGAACUACUUUAAUUUCUCUCAAUAAUGUUUUUGAUUUUUUAAUUGUUUUAAUUUUGAAUGUAGAGAUCUUGUACAUCUUUCAUUAUAUUAAUUCAGAAAUGUCUGCUGUUCUUUAUGCUCCUGUAAAUGUAUUUUUAAAAUUCAAUUUUCUAUUUAUUUGUUGCAAGUAUAUACAAAUAUAAUGUUUUUAUUGGUCUAAUAUGCAGCAAACUUGCUAAAUUCACUUAUUAAUUCUAGUAGUUUGGUUAUAAAUCAUUUGGGUUUUCUAUGUUUAAAAUCAUUUUGUCUCCCCAAAUUGCAAUUUUAUUUCUUCCUCUCCAAUUCCUAUGCCUUUGAUUUCUUUUUCUUGCCUUGUUCUAAAUGGGCCCCUCGUGCAAUGUUGCACAGGAGUGACAAGAGUAGACAAGCCUGUCUCCAUUCCUAACAUCAAGACGAAAUCUUUUAAUAAAUCACCAUUAAAUAUGUUGUAAGUAUGUUGUAGAUACCCUUUAUCAGAUUAAGAAAGUUUCCUUUCAUUCCUAGAAUCUAAGAGUAUUUAUCAUGAAUAAAUGUUAAAUUUUAUCAAAAUAUUUUUCUAUAUCUAUAAAGAUAACAAAGACAAAAAUAUCCACGAUUUUGCUCCUUUUUCUUUUAGUGUGAUGUUACAUUGAUUGAGUUUUAAUUUUAAAGCCAUUUUACCAUCAUAUAUGAUUUCUUUUAUGCAUUACUAGAUUAGCUUGGUUAAUAUUUAUUUAGGAAUUUUUUCAUCUAUUUUAUAAGAUACAUUUGACUAUAAUUUUCCUUUUUGUAAUAUUCUCAUCAGAUUUUUCUAUCAAAGUUUAACUGCAUCAUAAAGUGAGUUAGGGAAAUGAUCCUUUUUUCCUCUACUAUAGAAGAGUUUUUAUAAUAACAUAUUUGGCGGAAUUCACAAGUGAAAUCAUCUGGGCUUAGAGUUAUCUUUUUGCGGAGAUUAUUGGAUAACUGAUUCAACUCUUAACAGGUAAAGGACUAUUUUAAUUUUCUAUUUAUCCUUGAAUUAGUGCCAGGAAUGUGUGGUUUUCAAGAAAUGUGUACAUUUUACCUAAAUUUUCAGAUUUAAUGGAGUGUAAUUAUUUAUAAUUUUCUCUUAUUAUAUUUUGAAUAUCUUUACAAAAUGUAAUAAUGAUCCCUUUUUCCAGAAGGCUAAUUUGAGCUUUGCUUCUCUCUUUCUUUUCUUUCUCCCUUCCUUUCUCCUUUCUUCCUUUCUCUCUCUCUCUUUCUUUCUUUCAUUAGUCUUACUAGUGCUGCUACUUUUCCUUUUGAAAGAACAAACUUUUGGCUUUCUUAAUCCUUUGAUUGCACUUUAGUUUUUAUAUUUUAUUAACUGUUGCUCUAACCUUUAUUAUUUUCCAUCCCUUCUUUACUUAUGUUGAAUUUGCUGAUUUGUUUAGACGGAUAUUCAGUCAUUGAAUUUAAACCCUUCUUUGCAAUAUAUGUUUGUAAGAUAACGGAUUCCUUCUACACAUGGCUUUAGCUGCAUUCUCCAAGUUGUCAUAUUUUACUUCAAAUUAUUUUUGAUUUUCCACUGUGGCUAUUCUUGAUCCAUAAGUUAUCAAGAAGUAUACUACUUCUUUUCCAACCUUUUGGGAAUUUUCUGGCUAUCUUUUUUUGUGGUUAUUGCUUUUCACCUUAAUUUCACUGUGGUCAAAUAAUACACUCCAUGAUUUUAAGCUUUUAAAACUCAUUGAAGCUUGCCUUAUGACCUAGUAUAUUGUAAAUUUUAGUAAAUAUUCCAUGUGCACUUAAAACAAAUAUGUAUUUUGUUAUUAUCCUACUAUGCCAAUUGGAUCAUGUUUCUUAAUUGUCUUUUUCAGAUGUUCUGUAUCCUUAUGUUUUAGAUCUGCUUGUUCUACUUUAUCAUUUGUAAAAAACUGUGUUAAAGUCUCUGCUAUGAUUGUUAAUUUGUCUAUGUUUAACAUUUUUUGAAGUUUGGUUUCACACACAUUGAGGCUAUGUUAAUAGCUGUAUAUAUGUCUAGAAUUAUUGUAUAUAGUAUUCCUGAUUCAUUACCUUUUUAGCAUUAUGAAAAAUAUGUUAAUUGCUAUAAAAUCUACUUUGGUUGAUUUUAAAACAUCCAUACCAGUUUUUGUUUUUUUUUUUUUUUGGUUACUGUUUGAAUAGUAUUGGGGGAACCAGCCCCCAGUGUUUUAAUGUAGGUUCUUUCUAUUUUCCCUAAGUGUCAGCCAGUCUGAGAAAUAAAGAGAAAGAGUACAAAGAGAGGAAUUUUACAGCUGGGCCACCAGGGGAGACAUCACAUAUCGGUAGGUCUGUGAUGCCCACCUGAGCCGCAAAACCAGCAAGUUUUUAUUAGGGGUUUUAAAAGGGGAGGGACUGUAUGAACUGGGAGUAGGUAACAAAGAUCACAUGCUUCUGAGGCCAAUAAAGAUUGCAAGGCAAAGGGCAAAUCAAAGAUCACAAGGCAAAGAGCAAAAUUAGAAUUACUGAUGAGGGUCUGUGUUCAGCUGUGCACAUAUUGUCUUGAUAAACAUCUUAAACAACAGAAAACAGGGUUCAAGAGCAGAGAACUGGUCUGAUCUCAAUUUCACCAGGGUGGGGUUUUUCCUCACCCUAGCGAAUCUGAGGGUACUGCAGGAGACCAGGGCAUAUUUCAGUCUUUAUCUCAUCCACAUAAGACAGACACUCCCAGAGUGGCCAUUUAUAGACCUUGUCCCAGGAAUGCAUUCCUUCCCCAGGGUGUUAAUUAUUAAUAUUACUUGCUGGGAAAAGAAUUCAGUGAUAUCUCUCAUACUUACAUGUCUGUUUAUAGGCUCUCUGCAAGGAGAAAAAUAUGGCUCUAUUCUGCUCAACCCUGCAGGCAGUCAGACCUUAUGGUUGUCUUCCCUUGUUCCCUAAAAUUGCUGUUAUUCUGUUCGUUGUCAAGGUGCACUGAUUUCAUAUUGUUCAAACACUCAUGUUUUACAAUCAGAUUUCAUAUUGAUCAAACGCACAUUUUACAAUCAAUUUGUACAGUUAAUGCAAUCAUCACAGGGUCCUGAGGUCAUGUACAUCCUCAGCUUACAAAGAUAACAGGAUUAAGAGAUUAAAGUAAUUUCUUACACCUAAGAAAUUAUAAGGCACAAGAAAUUAUAAGAGUAUUGUUAGGGAAGUGAUAAAUGUCCAUGAAAUCUUCACAAUUUAUGUUCUUCUGCCAUGGCUCCAGCCAGUCCCUCCGUUCGGGGUCCCUGACUUCCUGCAACAAAUAGCAUAUUUUCCUCUACCUUUUUACUUUCAACUAUACUAUGCUCUUAAACGUAAGGUAUAUCUUUUGUAGGCAUAUUGUUAAAUUUCAACAAUUCAAAAAUUGUUGAAUCUUGACAGUUUUUAUCUUUAUACAGUUUUUAGUCCAUUUACAUUAUGUCAUUACUAAUAUAUUUGGGUAUAAAUCGGCCAUCUUCCUAUUUGUUUUCUGUUUGUGCCAUCUUUACUAUAUUACUUCUUCUUUCUUUUGGGAAUGCCAAGAACCCAAAAGCAAAUGCAACAAAAACAACAAUAAAUAGAUGGGCCUUAAUUAAACUAAAAAGCUUCUGCACAGCAAAAGGAAUAGUCAGCAAAGUAAACAGAUAACCCACAGAGUGGGAGAAAAUAUUCAUAAACUAUGUAUCCAACAAAGGACUAAUAUUCAGAAUCUACAAGGAUUUCUGAUCUGCAAGAAAAAAACAAAUAAUCCCAUCAAAAAGUGGGCUAAGGACAUGAACAAACAAUUCUCAAAAGAUACACAAAUGGCUAAGAAACAUAUGAAAAUAUGCUUAACAUCACUAAUUAUCAGGGAAAUGCAAAUAAAAACAACAAUGCAAUGCCACCUUACUCCUGCAAAAAUGGCCAUAAUUAAAAAAUAAAAAAAAAUAGGUGUUGGUGUGGAUGUGGUGAAAAGGGAACACUUUUACACUGCUGGUGGAAAUGUAAACUAGUACAACCACUAUGGAAAACAAUAUGGAGAUUCCUUAAGAAAGUAAAAGUAGAAUUACCAUUUGAUACAGCAAUCCUACUGAGUAUCUACCCUGAGGAAAAGAAGCCGUUAUGUAACAAAGACACUUGGACACAAAUGUUUGUUGUAGCACAAUUCACAAUUGCAAAAAUGUAGAAUCAGCCUAAAUGCCCAUCAACCAAUGAGUGGAUAAAGAAAACGUGGUAUAUAUACAUAUAUAUAUAUAUAUAUAUAUGUAUAUAUACCAUGGAAUACUACUCAACCAUAUAAAGGAAAGAGAUAAUGGCAUUUAGGCAAACUGGAUGGGGUUGGAGACCAUUAUUCUAAGUGAAUUAACUCAGGAAUGGAAAAAUCAAACAUCGUAUGUUCUCACUUAUAAGUGGGAGCUAAGCUACACGGACACAAAGGCAUAAGAAUGAUAUAAUGAACUUUGGAGACACGGGGGGAAGGGUUGGAGAGAAGUGAGAGAUAAAAGACUAUACCCUGGGUAUAGGGUACACUGGUCAGGUGUUGGGCACAACAAAAUUUCAGAAAUCAUCACUAAAGAACCUUAAGCAAAUGCCAUGUGUUCCCCCAAAACUAUUGAAAUAAAAAAAUAUAUAAAUAAAUUAAGAAAAAAGAAAAAUUCAUGAGAUUACUCAAUUAAACAAAGUAGCUGAUAUGGAUAAAUGCAUUUUAUUUAAAAAUUGAAAUAUUUGGAAAUUAAUGAAUAUGACUAAAAGAAGUUUGAGUAAUUAAACCAACACUCAUAACUUUUGAAGAAUAUUAACAAUUUGAAGUUUAUUCUCAUUAAAACUCAGAAAGUGUUCUGCAAAUUUAUGAAAUGAAUGAAUUUGUUUAAAUUGCAAGACAAGGGUAAAUUAGUACAAAUCCAAAAGAUAAUUUUACAAAACAGCAGAAUUUUUAAAAGAAGAAAAAUGAAGAGGAAAUAUCAAAAUAAAGUUUAAAGGUUAAGAUGGAAGUAAUAAACCUCAUUUAUAUCAAUCAUUACACUGAAUGUGAGUGGUUUGAAUAUUCCCAUUAAAAUCAGAGGCAUUAAGAUUGGUAUUAAAGAAAAAAAAUCUGUGUUAGAAGUCAUAUAAUUAAAACUGAAUGAGGAAAAAAUUGUAUUAAUGGAAGGGUCAAAGAGAUAAAAGGCAAAUACGAAGAGAAACAAAGAGUUCCAGUAUAAAUAUUAGAUACAGUGGAAUGGUUAAAAGAACUAAUCAGAAUAAAGAAGGAAAUAAUAAAGCAUAAAAUAGCAGUCAUAACUUCAACACAUCAAACAAAUGGCAGUGAAAUAACUAAAGAAAAGUGAUUUGAAUUACAAGAAAUACUUGAUAAAAUAUAUCUUCUCAGAACUGGAGAUACUUAGUAGGCUCCAAAAAAUAUUGAAUAUUGAUACAGAGGGGUCGAAUAAUACAAUAAAGAACUUCAUUAUAUAUAUAUUAAAUUUUAUAUGUAUAUAAAAUUUAUAAAUUCUAUAUAUAUAAUAUAGGUGGCAUACACACAUAUAUACAUAUAUACAGACACAUGCAUAAAUACACACACAUAUACAUAUAUAAAAAAAGCCUUAUAAUCUCAAAUAGAAAAUGCCUUUCUCUGUAUUUCCAUGGAAUAUUUGCAGAAAGCCAUUCAAGUUCUUGAAGACAAAAAAACCUUUAAUAGUUUUUAGAAAUUAGGUUCUAUAGGCCAAAUUUUUUAUCCUAAUCAUUAAAAAAUAAUUAAAAGGUGAUUCUCUUCUUUUUAAAAUACUUGAGAUUUCAAGCCGUUUAUACUUGGAAAUUUUAAAACAUGCCUUUCAAUAAUCCUUGGGUCACAAAGAAAAUAUCAAAAUGACAUAUAAACCAUAUCAAAAGCAAUGAAAAAGAUAAUACUUUAUAUCAGAUCCAAAAGACUCAGUAGUGACUGUAUUCAGAGGAAAAGGCAUCGCCUUAAAUAUCUUUUUAGAAAAGAAAGAGAAAAAAUAAGCUAUCAUUAAACCUCACCAUAAAAUGAUAAGAAAAGUUCAAAUUUAUUCAAUUACAUUUUUAUAUGGUUAUUGAAAUGACCUGGAUGAACUUGUACAUCUAAGCAGUUCAGGUGUCCAACUUUAAAAUCUAAAUCUCUCAUCGUCCUGUGUAUGAUUCUUCACCACCUGGUGGUGAUUGUCUGCUCAAGAUUCGUUAUCAGUUGGGAAGGUUUGGGGUUAUAUUACUAGCUAGGGCUCCAGGAUAGCAACAACAAUUCAAGGAAUAUUAUAGUCAGUUGUCUUCAUUUCCUGGAGCUGAUCCAGCGAUAAUGAGCUAGCAUAUUACUGAUAUGUAAUACUAAAUACUAACUCAUGAAGAAAAAGGCAGAGGUGGUGGUAGCACUCCUUUUAACCUUUCUUGUAGUGCUGGCUUGGUAGUGGCAAAUUCUCUCAGCAUUUGUUUGUCUGAAAAAUACUUUAUCUCUCCUUCGUUUAUGAAACUUAGUUUAGCUGGAUACAAAAAUCUUGGCUGAUAGUUAUUUUGUUUGAGGAGACUGAAGAUAGAUCCUCAAUCCCUUCUGGCUUAUAGGGCUUCUGCUGAGAAAUCUGCUGUUAAUCUGAUAGGUUUUUCGUUACAGGUUAACUGAUACCUUUGCCUCACUUCAUCUUGGCCUUAUGUAACCUGAUGAUUAUGUGCCUAGGUGAUGAUCUUUUUGCAAUGAAUUUCCCAGGUGUUCUUUGAGCGCCUUGUAUUUGGAGGUCUGGAUCUUUGGCAAGGCCGGGGAAUGUUUGCUUGAUUAUUCCCUUGAAUAAGUUUUCCAAACUUUUAGAUUUCUCUUCUUUCUCAAGAACACUAAUUAUUCUUAGGUUUAGUCGUUUAACAUAAUCCCAAAUUUCUCAGAGACUUUGUUUAUAUUUUUUUGUUCUUUCUUAUUUGACUCUGUCUGAUUGGGUUAAUUCAAAAGCCUUGUUUUUGAGCUUUGAAGUUCUUUCUUCUACUUGUUCUAGUCUAUUGUUCAAACUUUCUGGUGUAAUUUGUAUUUCUCUAAAUGUGUCUUUCAUUUCCAGAAGUUGUGAUUGUUUUUUCUUUAUGAUAUCUAUUUUUCUGGAAAUAAUUCAUCUAUAUCCUGUAUUAUUUUUUACAUUUAUUUAAUUUGGUUUUCAUCUUUCUCUGCUAUCUCUUUGAGUAGUUUAAUAAUCAACCUUCUGAAUUCUUUAUCUGAGAAUUCAGAGAUUUCUUCUUGGUUUGGAUCCAUUAAUCUUUUGGGGGUGUUAUAAAACCUUGUUUCAUCAUAUUACCAGAAUUACUUUUCUGGUUCCUUCUGAUUUGGGUACACUAUUUCAGAGGAAAAGUCUGGAACUCAAGGGCUGCUGUUCUGAUUCUUUUGUACAAUAGGGUGAUCCCUUGAUGUAGUGCUCUCCCACUUUCCCUAGGGAUGGGGCUUCCUGAGAUCCAAACUGCUGCGAUUAUUAUUGCUUUUCUGGGUCUAGCCACCCAGUGGGGCUACCAGGCUCUGAGCUGGUACUAGGAAAUGUCUGCAAAGAGUCCUGUGAUGUGAUUCAUCUUCAGGUCUCCCAGCUGUGGAUACCAGCACCUGCUUUGGUGGAGGUGGCAGGGGAGGGAAGUAGACUCUGUGAGAGUCCUUGGUUGUAGUUAUGUUUAGCGUUUUGGUUUUCUCAAAUGCUAGUUAUUCUAGCAGUGAAGUUGUCACAUGGACAGAGUCAGGACCUCUGGUUAGCCAGGACGUUGCAGGCAGAGGAAUUAGCUGUUGUUUUGUCUUUCCUUGGAGCAGGAUUAUUCUGUCAUGAAUUGCUGUAAUGGUUUGAGUUGGUUGGCCUCUAGCCAGGAGGUGGCACUUUCAAGAGAGCACCAGCUGUGGCAGUAGAAGGGGGAUAUAAGCUUGCCCUAAGUUGGACAGGAUAAGUUUCUCAGGUAAUGGGCAGGGCCAUAAAGCUCCCAAGAAUUUAUGUGUUUUGUGUUUGGCUACCAGGCAGGUAGAGGAAAACCAUGCAGGUCAGACUCUCCUUGGGUCAGGCUUGCUACGUCCACUGUGGGGUAUGGGGAGGUGGUUAUCAGGCCAAUGGAGUUAUGUUUCAAGGGGGAUUAUGGCUGCUUCUGCUUCAUUGUAUAUGUCACCAGGGAAGUGGGGGAAACCUAGCAGUUAUAGGUGUUACCCAGCUCCCACACAGCUGGUGAGGCCAGUCUCACUUCUGCUGUGCCCCACCAAUAGUGCCAAGUUUAUAUCCAGGCAGCCUGCAUGCAGGGCUCAGAUCUUGCCCCAGGUUACAAGCCUGCCACUGAGAAAGCAAGCAUGGCUUUUAGGUCUCAUGCCUCUCCACCUUCCGAUACUGAUGGCCACUGCUCCUGUGCUGGUAUCUCUAGCAAUUCCUGUUUGUCCCCUAGAUUCUGCUCAAGAAAAUUCAUGCUUGAACUAAAUUAUUACGAAGUUCAGUGGGAAGCUUCUUUCACCCUGUGAUCCCUCCCUACUUCUGAUGGCUACCUUCUCCAAGGACCCCUGUGAGAUAGAGUCAGGGAUGGCUUCCCUGGGCUUGAGCUGGGACCUGGGAGUGCCUACAGGGCUCUUCCUGCUGCUUCUUCUGCUUUAAUAUUUUGCUCAGCUCCCUAAAUUUGUUUCAGUUCUACGUAAGGUUAAAUCUUUUUCUCAUGACCUGGAUUUUCAGAUUCCGCAGUGGGAUGUGUGUUCAGAGGCAUAUUUUCCCCUUUCAUACUUUGGGAACUCACAGUUUUUUGGCUAUCUCAUGGAGUUUGCAGUGGCCAGCCACUUCUUCCGCAGGAUCUGUGAACUCUUUCAGUCUUCCUGGCAUGUUCCUGUGGCAGGUCUCAGAGCAAAAGUUCAUAGUGUGAGUCUUCACAUGCUGUCCUGUCUGUCCAACUGGGAGCUGCCCAUUAGUCCUGUCUCCCAUCUGCCAUUUUCUCUCCUUAAUCCUGAUAAACUAAUCCAAUUUUUAUUUUUUAAAAAAUCACUGCUAUACCUAUCUCCAGUGUCAAAGUCUUUCUAGAGUAAUCCUAUAUUCAGGUCUGUAUCACACAGUACUAACCAAAGAGUCCACUCUGUUCUAACAGCUGAAUAUUUACUACUGGCAGUGGUAUCAGAGAAAGAAAGAAAAAUUAAAUUUUCAGACCACCAAUUGGGUGGACAGAGGAAUUUAAGUAUAUUAUCUCUUUGUUCUGGGUAUAUAUGAUAGAGUUUCUGGUCAGUUGAAAAUUUUUUUUUCUGUAAAAUACUUCAUAAUCAGCUAGAAAAAUAUUUGGUUAGUUAUUCCUUUAUAUUUAAUCUAGAUUUACAUUGCAAAGCCAAACAUGAAGAAUGUUUACCAACUUGGGCAAAAUAACUUCAUAGAUUUUCCAAAGUAGACUUCAUCCUCUCAUGAUGGCUUUAUGCCUAUGAAUCUAGGCUGACUUUAUGGUCUUUGGGUCUGUCUGUUUGUGACAUGUGAAGACGAAUGCUUGGUUGGGUUGGGGGUGGGCAGUCUGGAGUCAUGUGUGUGGGAUUCUGGACUAACCCGGGCUUUUAGAUGAUCUUUUCUCCUAUUUGGUUUUCAAAAGGUCAGUGUGUGAGCCACUUCAAUGCCUCCCACUGUUUUCCUUUGCAUUUUACAAUGCCUGUGUGAGCUCCAGGAGGGAGCACAUUUAUUGUGCAUGCCAUUCAGUUUAGAUUCUACUAGAGCAAAUGAUUACAACAACUCAGAGGAAAAAGCUGGAAAAUAAGUCCCUGAUGUAAAACUGGUCACAGGGCCAAAACGGUAGUGCCAAUUAUGAUUUCAGUGCCUUAUACACAUUACGUCGCCAACAGUCUUUUUAAAAAUAUCUAAUUUAUUUAUUAUUGGCUAGGGUGGGCAUAUUAAACAAUAUUUCUUCUCAAGUAGCCAGUUGUCUUUGCAUUAGAAGUUAAGAUUAAAAGUUUACAUUCACUUGUGUUAAUUUCACUUUUUUUGUUUUUAAAUGAGGAGCAUUAAUGGCAAUAAAUGGGCUAAAGAAAAAGAAUGCCUGGAGGGCUGACACAGCAUGGGUGUGGUCCUGGGGUAUAUAUAGCACUCUCUAUAAUUUUCUAGCUAAUGUUCCUUUCCUUGAUUACAUGGAUUAAAAGCAGCAUGUUAUUAUAUCUGGCAAGCCAAUCACAUAAAUAAUAAAGGCUUAUUACAUUCUUCUUAUGUUGAAGUCACAGAUCCAGGUCCCAUAAAAGCCUUGACAUGAUGCUUGCUCCUACAUUAAGGCAUUUGUGAAGAGAUGAAUCAUAAACAAGUACAUGUUAACCCUGAUUCAAGAGUUACACAAUAAUCUAUUAUUUAAUGAUUGAAAAAAUUGUAAAACGGCGCUUGAUUGUCAAAUAAGCUGCAAUUCUUUUUUCCCCAAUUUAACUGAGUUAUAGAUGACAAUUAAAAACAAGUAUUUCAAAGUUCUACUAUAGAAUUAUAUUUUAAUAACAUUAGCAUUUUGUUCUCUAGUUUAAUAAUCAUACAUUUCUAUUGUAGUAUAGUCAAGCAUCACUUAAUGACAGAGAUACCUUCUGAGAAAUGCAUCCUUAAGAUAUUGUAAUUGUGCAAACAUCAUAGAGUGUACUUUCACAAACCUAGGUGGUACAGCCUGCUACACACCUAGGCUAUAAGGUAUAGCCUAUUGCUCCUAGGCUACAAACCUGUACAACAUGGUAUCGUACUGAAUACUGUAGGCACUUUUAGUAAAAUGGUAAAUAUUUGUAUAUCUAAACAUAGCUAAACACAGAAAAAGUACAGUAAAAGUACAGUAUAAUAACAUAAAAAAUGUAAGCCAGUAUAGGUCACUUAACAGGAAUAAAGUUUGUGGGAUGGGAAGUUGCUCUGGGGUGGCAGGUGAGUGAAUGGUAAGUGAACAUAAAAGCCUAGAACAUUACUGUACACUACUGUAGACUUCAUCAACACUCUACAUUUAGGCUAUAUUAAGUUAAUUUAAAUUUUUUCUUUCUUCAAUAAUAAAUUAAACUUUGCUAACUGUAGCUUUUUUAUUUUAUAAACUUUAACAUUUUUUUAAAUUUUUGACUCUUUUGUAAUGACAUUUAGUUAAAAACAAACACAUUUUAGAGCUGUACAAAACUAUUUUCUUUCUUUAUAUCCUUGUUCUAUAAGCUUUUUUCUAUUUUUAAAAUGUAUUUUUCUUGUACUUUUCAAACUCUUUUGUUAAAAACAAAGACACAAACACACACAUUGGCCUAGGCCUACAGAGGAUCAGGGUCAUCAAUAUCACUGUCUUCUGCUACUACGUCUUGUCCCACUAGAAGUUCUUCAGAGGUAAUAGCAAGCAUGGAGCUGUCCUUUCCUAUGAUAACAAUGCCUUCUUCUGUAAUACAUCCUAAAGGAUAUACCUGAGGUUUUUUUCACAGUUAACUUUUUUUUUAAUAAGUAGGAGUAUACUCUAAAAUAAUGAUAAAAAGUAUAGUGAUAGUAAAUACAAAAAUCAGUAACAGUCAUGUAUUAUCAUCAAAUAUUACACACUAUAUAUAAUUGUAUGUGCUAUACUUUUAUACAACUGGCAGCAUAGUUGGUUUGUUUAGAUCAGCAUCACCACAAACAUGUGAGUAAUACGUUGCAUUAUAAUGUUAUAAUGGCUGAGUCACUUAAGGAUAGGGCUUGUUUAGCUGUAGUAUAAUCUUAUGGGACCACUGUCCUAUAUGCAGUCCGUUGUUGAUGGAAAUGUCAUUAUGCUGUGCAUGACUAUAUUCUCUUCAGUAAAGUACACUGAUAUCUUUCCCCAAAAUUAUGUUUUCCCUUUAUUUCUUGUUCUCCAAAUUGUACCACAAAUUGAGAGUAUGUAGAAGAUAAAUAGUUCUAUAAAAUUUGUUCCUAUUACUGGUUGUGUCAGAGAAAGAUCACAGUGAAUUUAUGGAUGAAUUACUUAAUGCUAGAAAAUACCACCCCAAUUUUUCUGUGAAAAUAAACCCCAGAGUUGCAGGAAAACUUCAGCUUUUGUAUGGUAGAUAUAUAUGAGCAUUCAUAAACCCUGGAUUUCUUAAGCCACUGAAUCAAUUCUCUUUGUGGGUUUCCAAAAACCCUAGGAGGAAUCUUCUUGAGUGUCAAUCAUUGAAGCCAGAGAACACAUGGUCAUUUCAAACAAGACCACUCAUUAAUCCCCCCAGCAACACACUCCUUAUUUAUUUUUAUCAAAAUGUACCCAUCUCAUAAACUUAGUACAUUUUCCCAAAGAGCUAAUAACAUGGAACCUCUGGCCAAAGUCAAUAACAACAACAAAAUAUUCUGCUAGCUUUAGCCAACCCCUAUCUACUCCAAGUACAGAGAUUAAAUAGUUCAUGCCUAGAUGAAGCCCCAGUAAACUCACCCUCUGCCAAACCAAGAAAGAUGCAAAUAUGGACUGGAUAUUCCUCUGCUUAUUUGUUAAAUAUAACUACGUCUGGGAAAACUAGGUCAUUAAUAUCUCUUAAAUGCCUCUCACAUUUCAGGCCUGUGUUACCUUCAUUAAUGUUUAUAGAAAUCCUUUUGAGGGCUUCUGAUCCAUUCCUUCAUUCAGUUAUUCAUUCACUAAAUAUUUGUUCCCAUUUUACAGAUGAGAAAACAGGCUGCUAGAGAAUAAGCUUCAAUAAGUAAUUUGCCCAAGAUCACACAGUCAGCUGAUAAAUUGCAGAGUAGAGAUUCAAAGUUAGAUAGAUAUGACUCCAAAAUCAUGUUCUUUCUAUCAUUCAGAGCUUCCAGCAGGAUCAUCUGAGGCCUCUAUACGUAUUUCUGAGUCCCACCCUAUAUCAUUUAAUCAGAAUUUUCUUUGGUUGAGCCCGAAAUCUAUUUUAACAGGGGUUCCAUGUGAUUUUGAUAUGUAGCUUGGUUUAGGAACAACUAAAACACACAGUAGCUUUUCAACUCCUAACAUAGUAACUGGUCCAAAACACCUUAUAAGUAAUAAUUCAUUUUACAAAUAUUUAUUAAGCACUUACUAUGUGUUAGGCAUUGUUAUAGGUAUGGCAGUGAGCAAAACACAAAAAUUCCUGCCCUCGUGGAGCUUAUAUUCUAGUGUGGAAAUGGAGGCAGUUCACAGGGGACAGAGGAAAACCUAAGUAAGUACAUUAUGCAUUAUAUUAGGAGGUGGUAAAUGCUAAGAAGACAAUAGAGAAGUGUAAGGUGAUAAGGAGGGGUGGGGGGAUAAUGUAUUAAAUAAGGCGGUCAAGAUUGUUUUCUGUGCAAAGGUGAGAUUUAAAGAAGGCGAGGAAUGUGCCAUGCGCUUGCCUGGGUAAAAUCAUCAGGCAGAUGGAGUAGCUAGCACAAAGGUGCUAAGGCCUCUAAACAUGUACCUGGUGCAUCCAAGAACCAUCAAGGGGACCAAUGGAGGUGGAGGAAAUGGGCUGGAGAAAGAAGUGAAAGCUAAAGUCAGAAAGGUAAUGAAGGGAAUAGUCAGAUGAGCUCAUGUUGGGUCUUACAGGCUAUUGUAAGUACUUUUACUUUUUCUCUGAGUGAAAUGGGGAACAACUGUCAGGUACUGAGUGAAAAAGUUAUAUGUUCUGAUAAAUAAAAAACAAGUCCAUAUAUAAAGGCUAGAAGAAGAUUUUGAAAGACAUAUCAUCCAGACUCCUCUGCAAAGGCAGGUGUUUUUCUACAUUACUCUAGGGAAACUCUUGUCAAUUUCACACAAAAGCAGGCUUCAUUAUUCUGUAGUCACUCAUCCAUUUAAUUCACUCAUUAACCAAAUAUUCAUCAACCUCACAGUCUACCCUGUGUAAGGUGCUUGCUAAGUUCAGAAGGCUUUCUGGGAUUUAUAACUUGGCCCCCAAGGUGCUCAUGGGCCUUAGUAGCAAUACAUGUGGUCCAGCUUGCCUGUGAAGUAAUUGUUUAUUCUCAAUCUGCUUAACGUUCAUUGUAAUUAAACCCCCUUUCCUGUGGCUGAUUGUCAAAGGUGAUGUAGCCGGUCAAGGCAGUCACCUGCUCUAAGUCUGUGACAAGCCAUGGCCAGCAGUCUCUUCUAAAAGUUUAUUGGAAGAGAAAAGUGUUGUAUGCCCAAGUGUAUAUGAAUGGAGAGACUGGAGAUUAUUGUCAGAGAAGAGAGGAGUUUUUCUUCUGUGUCCUACAAGUGAAGAUGGGAGAAGGAUGCAGUGAUGCCUGGGAAUCUUGAGGAGUAGAAGGGAAGCAUGUGUUAGCUAACUGCUUUUGCUUAUGUAGUAUAUAUUUUGAACUUCAUUGCUAAUGAAUAGGGAAAUGCUUCAGAGCAACAGCAAAACAUGGAAUGAAGGCAUGCCAAAAGGAAAAACUUUUAACAUAGUGACUAAUUCUUUUAAAAUGAUUUAGCUCACAGACUUCACAGGUAGUGGAAAUAGUGUGGUAAUGUACAACAUAGCAGAAUAAGUCACCUCAGUUUUCUUAUUCAGAAGGGGUAAAUAGGCAGGGACCAAAAAUCUGAUUAAUAUUCUAUCAAUGCUUUAAUGCAAGGACAUUUCAAUGGCCACAUUUAAAAGAUUUUUCUUUGUGCUUUACAUCUAGGCCAAUUAAUCUAUGCUAAUAUAAAACAAAAAUUAUUUUGUUUUAUAAAUACAUCAGUCUAAUGGACAGUUGAAACACAUCCCACCUCCCCAUUCACUUUUUUAUUCCUAGAGAUUUAAAUCAAUGAACUGAAUUUUUAUUUUUACAAGACAUGUUGGCUAUAAAUAUAUCACAAAUCAUAAUUAUAAACAUAUCAUACUAUGAAGAAGUAGAAAAUCUCUGAUAUAGAGGCAUCAUUUUCUAAAUAUAUUCUUGCCAUUUUACGUUGAAGAAUGAAGAUAAAUAGGAAUGUGACUAGAAAUCAUAAAAAUACCAAACUGCUAUUUCCCAGAAGUGACAAAAAUAUGAACGAACUUUAAAAAAAAUUGUUUAGAUGGGCUAUAAUACUUGAUUGAGAGUUCAAGUCCUACUGAUGACCAAAUUUCUCUAAAUCUCAAGCUUAGAUAUUGAUGAUGGAAAAUGGGCAUAAAGGCUAGAUUCUGGCUGCCCUCCAGUUAUUGGCAGAAUCCAGGUGGAAGUGCAGUGGUGUGACACCAAAGUAUCCACUUCACUCAGUCAAAGAUGCCAAGUGGUGUUAUUUUAGUGGUGUUGUUGUUUGGUGUCAAUAUCCGAGAUUCAUUGUCUUAUGGCCAUGGAAAAUUAGGACGCAGGCACACACAGAGUGAAGUUCAGAGUGGAAGUUUAAUAGGUGAAAGAAAGAGAAGUGCUCUCUCUGCUGAAGAGACAGGGGUCCUGAAGAAAUGUGUUGCUGCUUUUGCAGUGAAAUACAGAAGGUUUUAUGGAUGAGCUUGAGGAGGUGGUGUCUGAUUUACAUAGGGCAUGAAAAAUUGGUUGGGCCAGGUGUUCCAUUUGCAUAAGGCAUGAAAAACUGGUUAGGACUGGGUGUGCCAUGCAUAGUGCACGAAAAGGCUGGCCACCCACCCUAAUCUUUCAUUAAGCAGAUGGGUUCUCUACACGGCUGGCGCCACAUUGCCUGGUUUUCUACCGUACAUAUGGUGACAAAGAAAAAGGAAGAUGGAGUCGCUGUGCUGAACAUACCUGGCUUCCAGGUAGCUCUUUCCUAUUGGCACAAGCUGCCAGCAUUCAUCUGUGCAAGUUUCCAGCUUGCUUAUCUAUGUUUGCAGAUAGAUUUUUCAGGCUGCUCUUUGUUAGAAAAGAAAUGAUUUGGGGGCUGCUUUUUUUGAUGUUGUUGUUAAAAAGGAAAUUCACUGAGGACUCUGUUGCCUUACUAUCUGCCUAAAUAAUUUAUUUCUAUCUCCUGUAUCACUAUGACAGGGGGAAACAAACAAGAAAAGAAGGGCUGAUCCUGCCUUCUACAUAUGUGGUGAUGCUGUUUGUUCAUUUAUGGGUCACUUUUUUGUAUCUGAGACGGAGCUUGGCUCUUGUUGCCCAGGCUGGAGUGCAGUGGUGCGAUCUCGGCUCACCGCAACCUCCACCUCCUGAGGUCUAGGGAUUCUCCUGCCUCAGCCUCCGAGUAGCUGGGAUUACAGGCACGCACCACCACGCCCAGCUAAUUUUGUAUUUUUGGUAGAGACGGGGUUUUUGUAUGUUGGUCAGGCUGGUCUUGAACUCCUGACCUCAGGUGAUCUGCCUGCCUCGGCCUCCCAAAGUGCUGGGAUUACAGGCGUGAGCCACCUCGCCCGGCCUAUUGGGCACUGUUAAGUGACAUUUUUGUGAAGAUUCUGUGGGACAUGGAGAAACUUCCUCUUGGGAGCUAGCUUGUGCUAAUCCCCACAGCACAAGUGGGAAUUAAUGUGUGCUCACUGAUUCAUGCUGGUUGAAGUGUUUUUUUUUUUUUUUCUGAAGGCUUUUUUCCUUUGACAUUUUCUAUUUUUCUAACUAAAAGACCGGCUCCGUGAGUUUAAAGGAUUAUAAUCUUUUGCAUUUGUAUUUUUCUGCAUGCAUUGAAGAGCAUUUAAGAAUAUUGCCAAUUAAAAGAAUAUGCAUUUAAUUUAGAAAUAUGAAUUUGAUUAGCUAAUGUUCAUCUUUAACAUUUUCUAAGGCUGAAAUGCUAAUCUCUUUGCUUUCUUAUCAGACUAAUGUUCAGAUCACACUGGCUUGAUAGCUGACUCAUUUUCUCAGUGCAGUGAAGGGUGGCCACCUGCCAAUAAAUGAUGCCUAAUACCACAGUUAAAUGAAAGGCUACCAUUGAAAUGGAAAAUUUGCUGGAGAAAGUUGAUUAAGUAACAUUUCACGGAAGAGGAGAAUUGUAAUAACCAUUUGAUAGAAGAGAGAUGUCCUUGAACUCAAUCUAUCCUGAAGAUGCUCCUGAGAGGGCAAACAAAUAACAUCUCUCUGGAAGGAUGCCUGCCUUUGUCAAAGCUUUCAAAUCUGUAUGACUUCUAUCUUUCCUUGGCUUCCCUUACUCAAUUAGUCAAGGAUCCUUGUGGAUGUUUAACAUAAAAUGUCACUCACAUCUGCCCUCCUCCUCAACUUUCCAUUCCAUCCUCUCCACAGAUGCCUGAUGCAUUUUCUUCUGACUCAGUCUUCUGUUUUUCAUGGAGAACACAGAGCAAGACAGAAGCUCCCAACUGUGGCAUCCAAGAGCAACUUGAGCUGCUCCCUUACUUAUCUCUGGUAAUGAUUUGAAUCCUUUGCUUUUGCCAGACUGACUCAUCUAGUCAUUGCUCCCCAAAUAUUCAUUUCCCCAUUAUUUCUUGUGGCCUAAGCACCAAAUUUUGUUCUUUCAAAAUCUACUCUUCCUUCAGGUCUGGCUCAAACUCUUUGUGAUGACUGUUCUACCAUAUGGCUUAAUAGCUAAGUACACAUGCAUUGACCUCAAGCCUUCCCACAGCUCAGGUUCCUGAGGCACAGACUCUGGAUGGAAAUUAGCACAUAAUAGGUUUAUUAGAAAGUGCUCUUGGAAUUAACAUCUUUGGAGGAAGAAAAGAAGCAAUAUUGUCCAGAGAGGGAAGUUGAACUGCAAUGAAGUUGCCACAGAGGCUUCAAUGAAUCCUUCUGGGUGUAGAGCUGGGAUGACCUUUCCAGAGUUUUCCAAUUAAGGGAAUUGUAUCUCACCUCAAUCUCUAGUCUGAACCUUGGGUGAGGCAGCUUCUUUCAGCCAAUGGCAAUUCCUGGAGGCACCAGGAGUUAUGAGCAGUCAACACUCUUUCUUUGCUCCUGAGAAAAUUGAGUGCCCUCUUUGGUCCUGAAAGCAGCUCUGGGCAGCACUCCACAGCAUCCACUACAGACUUAGUGAGUUCACCCUGGCUCUCCCACUUACAGAUUGCAGGUUGCGGCAUGGGAUUGCAUCAGCCUAUGGGGAAGAAAAAGAAGAAAAUAGACAAUCUGCACAGAAUAUGUAAAAGGAGAACCAAAGCCCAAAGAGAAAAAUGCUGAGAAGUCGCCAGCAAAGAAAGCACAGUAAACAACAGCAGGGGCCGGGCGCAGUGGCUCACGCCUGUAAUCCCAACUACUCAGGAGGCUGAGGCGGGGGAAUCGCUUGAACCCAUUAGGCGGAGAUGGCAGUGAGCCAAGAUAGCACCACUGCACACCACCUCAUGACAGAGCUAGACCCCGUCUCAAAAAACAAAAACAAACAAACAAAAAAACAGCAGGAGGCAGAGGAGUUUUCCAUAAUCGUACACCUUCUACUGAUGUGCUCUCCAUUAGCCAGCCUUGACUUCACCAACAUCACUGCUUCUCCUCCUCAGGGCUGGGUGGAAUGGGGUUAUGGUGGAGAGCUGCAGAAAAGCUUUAGCCACCCCCAGCUGUUAGAGGGUGCAGCACAACUCGCUUUAAUUGCUCAUGUAUUCUACUGGCCCAAGCAGUCUGCAAGGCUGAGAGUGAGUUGAAGAACACUGACUAGGCAAAUGAAGACAAGAAGAAUUUGAAAUGGCGAGGCAAUUGAGGUCCUGAAGAAAUGAAGCACAUGAAGAUGGGGGAGCAGCUCAGAACAUCAGGAGGCAGUAAUGGGAUACUGGGUGCUUGGAGGGGAACGAGAGGUAGUGGCAGUGGAUUUCAUCUGAUCAGCAAUUUUAUUUGACUUAGUGUGACAAAUGGACCAAACAAAGAAACUAUUCUGUUGUUGAUGAUCCCUAUAAUCAUUCCCUAGGAAUAGUGUGAUAUAGUUUGGCUGUGUCCCCACUGAAAUCUCAUCUUGAACUGUAGCUCCCACAAUUCCCACAUGGGAGGUAAUUGAAUAAUGGGGUCAGUUUUCCCCAUACUAUUCUCUUAGUAGUAAAUACGUCUCUUGAGAUCUGAUGGUUUUAUAAGGGGAAACCCCUUUCACUUGGUUCUCAUUCUCUCUUUGCCUGCCACCAUGUAAGAUGUGCCUUUCAUCUUCCACCAUGAUUUUGAGACCUCCCCAGCCACGUGAAACUGAGUCCAUUAAACCUCUUUCCUUUAUAAAUUACCCAGUCUUGGGUAUGUCUUUAUCAGCAACAUUGAAAAUGGACUAAUACAUAGGAAAAUUGAUUUUUAAACUAAAAACUGUUCUUUCAAGACGAGAAUAUUUAUCCUAUACUUCCUGCUGUCUGUAUCUAAAGGUUUGCUUACACAUGUCAUGUUUUGCCCCAAAUGUCCUUACUUCUCUAACCCAGACCAACUUGAACUUUUUCUGUAUAUUUCCUUGUUCAACUGAGGAAACAUACCUCUUGUUGGCUUCUUUCUUACAUGAAAACUGAGCUCCAGUUUCUGACAUCUGGGUUGGCGAUACUUCCGGUUUCUCACUCAUGCACAUCUCUCUGAUCCAGUUUUCUUGGCACUUUUUCUUUCUGACUAGGAAAAAUUUCCUAAGCUGUUCUUGCAGUUACCAUGCCUUCCUAGGUGAUGUACCCUUCGUGAAUGAUUUUCUUUCUACAUGAUAGUAAGCCUUCAGUCUAGACCUGGUUGUUCUACAUUCUGAUCUAAGAUUCAAUAGAAUUCCCUUCUCUUUGUGCCCACCAUUAUCCUACACACCAGAAGAAUUGUCAAUUUCUUUUCAUUAAUACUGGCCAGUUGUGGAUUUUUUCUUUUGUCUGAUAGAGUCAUCAUUCAGAUCAUAACUGAUAUCUCACACAUUUUCUUUGAUACUUGAUAUAGAAAUAAAUUAUCAUAUACACACGCUCACAAAUGGAACCACCCUUACCUUGGGGCACAAUAUCUAUAUAAAUAAGCCACAUUAAUAAACCUCAAUCAAAAUUAUAUACAGUAUCUAUAUCAAUAAGCCAGAAACCUCAACCAAAAUUAUAAAAUUACACUUGUACUACUAGUGCUAAUGUCAUCAUUUGCCAACACAAAAAGUACUUUUGUUGCAAUUAUUUUCUUCUUUCCACCAUUCUAAGUUUGAAUACCUGGGAUUGACUAAAAUUGCAAAACUAGUUCUAUGUUUAAUGUUUUUAUUCAUGAAUAAGUGUCUUGUUUUCUAUCCUUAUUAACUUUUUUUCUUGCUAAUAAUGAAUUUAUUUUAUUUCUUAUACCACAGGGGUUUUCAUAAGUAACUUUCAAUCCUUUUUGGAGCAAAGCAGAAGUUAUUUGGUAAAUUUAUUAAUGUAAAUAUUCUUUUAUUCUCUUUUUUUUCUGUUCCUUCUCCAUUUUUGUAGUUCAACACUUUUCAAAUUAGUCUUAAUUAUUUGAUCUGACCAUUGCCAUAACCUGUAAUUGGAUAAAAAUGUCUAAGUACUGGUCUCGGUUUGACACUUAGAAGCAGUAACCUCAGAAUGUUCCUUAACUCUACUUAAUGAAAAGAGAACUGUCCUUAUAAUGAGGACAAAGGGAUAAAUAAAUAAAAUCAUAAAUAUGAAAAGUCUUAACAUGAUACCUGAAUCAUACUGUAUCCUUAAUAAAUGCUCUUUGAUUCGUGAAUUAUAAAAUAUGAUUUUUUCCAUCCUGACCUAAUAUUUGUCAUACGUUUAGCAAUGACAAUCAUGCCUUACAGUGUAAGAUUCUUGGGAACCUUCUUUCUGGCUUAAACAUUUCACCAGGGUCCCAACUGUGAAGUCAUUAAUCAAAUAGGUAUGCAAAAAAUUUUAGAUGUGGACAAAUCCUUUCCUUCUUGAGUAAAUGAAGCAUUCUAAAUAGCCGUGUCUAUUUUGUCUUUUUAUUAUGCAUUUCAAAGAAGGCAUGAGUGGGUUUUCUCUGGAAUGCCCGGUGAGCCUUCAUUGCUGAAAUUGGGGUGAUACCCAUUUUUCUCCAACCAACUCUGACAAUGCUUAAUGGGAGUGAGAGGAAGUGAUUGGUCUUAAGAGGAAAUGCAAUGAACAAUUUUCUUUCUCUCGGUCAGCUAUGACAGCAUAUAGAAAGAACUUGAGUUUCAAAGGCUGUGACUGCUGCAGGAAACUCUAGAACCUGUGGCGUUCAAGUAGGAUAACUGUCUCCCUCCAAAGCAUUUUGGUAAUCUCCUCCUCGCCCCCACCCCCUCUGAUUUAUGACUGUAUCUUUUGACCUUCUUUCUUUCUUCAUAAAAAGCACUAAGUUGCCAUUUAUAUAGCAGAGGACAGCAGAUAAAUGUUAAAAUUUACUGUAGAUCCUCACUGGGGAAUGGGCUUACAGAUCUCUCAGGCACCAAGUGUCACAAAAGCAUGUGAGUUUUGAUAUCCUUCAGUCAUGUGAGGAGUAAUCAUAAAAGGACAAAGUCCUAAAAAAAAUUAAACUUUCCAUAGACAGAGCAUAGCUGCAUUUUAAGUAACCACUUUAAAGAAAUGACUGCUGUUUUGGCAAAAGCUAGUAAGCCACAGAAAAUUAAUUUCAUGUUUCAUUGACAUUACUUUCAGGAAUUUCAUGUUGACAUAACCUAUAGAAUAAGGGUGAGAUACUGCAGACAAUAUAUUUAAUGCUGCUCUACAAGCAAAAAAUAUUUUAAAUCCAAACAGAGACUCAGCUUUAUGAAAUAAUCAUCUUCUGUGUGACAAUGAAUGAAACUGUAAUUUUCACAUUAAUUGUCUAGAUGCUAAUUGCUUCUAGAGCAAAAGUUUAAAUCAAAUUGUGAGCUCUUUUUAAGGCCUCUGUGUUGAACCUAAGUUACAUUUCAAACUAAUUCUUAUUUUGUCUUCCAUGUAGAUAGCAAUGCUUUUAUAUGAUUGAUAUAUUAAAAAUAUCAACUAAUGUCUGAUUCAAUUGUAUGCUAAGCUAAAAAGAAGGCACCUAUAAACACGUACUUCUAAAUACAUUCAACAAAAUAAUUGCUUUUAUCCAAAUCAAAAUGUUUUCACUUACUCCACAGUUGAGAGAGAGGGAGAUUAUUGGCUUUGACCAGCAAUAUGCAUGUUUGUCUCAUAAAAGCUGUAUGUCCUCAUUCUUUGCGUUCGCAUCUGUCACCAUGAAUCUGUGAUCCACCUGCUGAGAAGACUAUUGAUUGACUGUUGUUUGACCAAGGCUCUCUUUGGGUCUGAGGUAACAAGCCUUGUUUAUAUAAUGCACAGUUUCUGUUUCUACCUCUUGGCUUUGAAAUCUGCUCAAAGUCACAUAUUAGCAACUGGCAGAAAUCUGGCUAGUAUUCCUGCUGUUGUAAAGGCUUCUCAGCUAGUUUCUAUCAUGUAAAGGUAUGAUUCAACACAUCUAUUAAAUGUUCUUCUCAUCCUUCUGGCUUGUCAUUUGUGCUCUUGCCAGUAUACCGUAAAGCUGGGAAUUCACUGAGUCUGGCAGAUUUGAAAAACACUUGGUAAUAUAGAUAUCUCAGGCAUUGGCUAGGUGGUUAGAUCUCUUUGAUUUUAUGACUCCCAGAUUUCAUCAUGACAACCAUUGCUUGAAGUCACAGAAAAACUUUCCUGUUGUGAUUUAGUAUUGCCACGUGUAUUAGACAAUUAUUACCACAAUAAUGUCGCAUAAUAAGCCAUUCCAAACUCAGUAGCUUAAAACAACAAUUACUCUCAUUCACACAUCUGCAGAUUAGGUGGAGGUUGGCUGAUCCAGGUUGGUCUUCACUAAGCAAUGCUCCGUUUUUGUGUUAAAACUGGGUCCACUUUAUAUAUUUCUCAUCUUCUUUGGACUGGUGGACCAGCCAGGACUUAACUCAUGGUAAUAGCAGAAGCAUAAGAGAGGAAAUGAAAACAAACAAUGCUAAUGCCUAUUUGCCAAACUGGCAACUGUCAUUUAUGCACACAUGCCGUUGCCAAAGCAAGAGUCUAAAGUCAAGGACAGAUAAAGUACACUCCACUUCUAGUGGGAAGAACCACAAAGUCUUAAGGCCAAGGGCCGGACACAAUGAGAGAUUAGGUAUUGGAGCCAACAAUCCAAUCUAUCACACUGUCAAAUGUCAAGUAGGGUGAAAAGCAGUCUGUAGCCGUAACUCAAGGAGCUGCUAGUGGUGCGUUGGAGAGGUACAAUUUUGUGGGUAAUGAAGAAGGCCACACAACAUCUUUCCCUUGACUUUUACCUGCACCUUGCUAUCAUGUGAGAGUCUCACCGCUUCUGGGGCAUUACUAAGGGAUUUCACAGUGGAAUUCUGAAUCUUUGUUAAUUAAUGCUAGGUUGCAUAGAAUGCUAAUAGUUACUAUUUGUGGUAACACUAGCCCGAGGUUCACUAAGAUGGAAAAGGAAGAAUUUUACAGAGAUUUGUAAAUUUGUGUAAGGAAAAGACUGAAGCAGAAGUGAUGUUGUGUCAUUUCACACUUAGACUUUAAGAAAACUGGCAGCUUCUGCUCCCUCUUUCUUGAAACCCACCUACCAUUCAAGCAGUCAGGUUACCCUGCUGGAGACACCACAUGAAAAGACAAGGUGGAGCUGGGGAUGUGGGAUAAGGGAGAGGAUACCUGGAGGAUAAUUGAAGAGCCCAGCCAACAGCAGGAUCCUGGACCCCAGACACGUAACACUAGUUGAGUUGUUUUAGUCAACCCCUGUUUGUUCAAACCAUCCCAGGUGAGUUGCCAGAUAUAUGAGUGAAGAGACCAUCUUGCCUUCUUCAGCCCCAGAAGAUAUCAUAUGAAGCAGAGAUGAGUAAUCCCUGCUGUGUUGCUUCUGACUUCCUGAUCUACAGAAUUCUGAAAAAUAAUGAAAUUGUUACUGUUUUAAGCCACUAAGUUUUGGGGUAGUUUUAUAUGCAGCAAUAGAUCAUUGAAACAACUUCUCAUUGGAAUUUCUCUAAAAGAAUUCUUAUUUGGCCUUUAUCAUUUUGCCAUUUUGAGUCAUUGUUUCUAUGGAAUAUGGUACUUUUAUUGCACAGAAUAUUGGUAAAAAUGAUGAAGAGAAGACUUAUUUCUUAUUACUGCAUGAGUUUGGAGAAGAGUUAGUUUAUUCUUUUGCAACUAAAUGUUUUUUUUUAAAGCAUAAAACCUAUAGAUAGAUUAUCUAAAGAAAGGGGUUCAAUAAAUUAAUGUAUUAGCUGAUUUUCUGCCCCCCCCCCCCAAAUUAAACCAGAUGGAAGGAUUACCACCUAUCAGAGGCUCUGGGGGAGAAUCCAUUUCUUGUUUAUUCAAGCUGUUGGCAGAAUUCAGUACCUUGUGAGUAUAGAAACUAGGUCCCAGUUUUCUAGCUGGCUGUAAACUAAGAGCUGUUCCCCACUUUUAAAGGCCAUUUGAAUUCCUUGGCUAUGACUCUCUUCUUUCAUCUUCAAAGCUAGCAAUGACUGGUCAUGUCCCUCUUACACUUCAAGUUGAUCCUUUCUCUACUUCUGUCUCAUUUUCUCACCCUGCCAAGGGUACGUGUGAUUAGACUGGGACCCUUCGUAUAAUCCAAAAUAAUCUCCCUAUUUCAAGGAUGACUAACUAGCAAUCUUUAUUCCAUCUGAAACUUUAAUUUCACUUUGCCAUAUAACACAACAAAGUCCCAUAUUCCAGGAACUAGGACACUGAUGUCUUUGGAAGAUCCAUUACUCUGGCUACCAUAGCAAUAUUCCCACAUUGCUCCAUUCCAAGAAGCUCCUUUAACAUCACAGUCUAUGUAAAUAGUACUCUCAGGAGUUGCACAGUAGGCAGCUUGUACAGUCAUACAUGGCAGCACUUAGAAGCAUAUUAGAACAGAGGUAAGGGUGGUUGCAUGUCUAGGGCUCCAUUUCUGUGUCACCAAUGCUCCCGAUCUCAAACUGGAAGGUCACUACCUUCCUCUCAUUCUGGAGUAGGCCUUCUUUUUCCAACCCCUUUCUCUAUUAACCCAAGAGAAAGAUUUUCUCUUAGACAUAAAGAGAUAAUUGAAGUUCUUAAAAGAAAUGUUUAUAAGAGAAAUAAGAAUUUUUAAAAUUACAGAAAGAACAAGUUUUAGGACAGAUUAUUCAGCAAGGCAAAACUCCUAGGUAUCACUGAUCCUUCAGCUCGUUCUCAGGUCUAGCUUUUCUUCUUAUAGUAUCCUGAAUGGAUUCUAGCUCUACUUACUAAGCUAUGUCUCACUGUCCAGCUGAAUCAGCCUUUCUCAUAUGUCACCAGCUAGCACCUUGUCCAGGAGACAGCUGCCAACUUGCCCUCUUUCUGUUUAUGGUAAUAUUAUUAAUUCUUUUGCAAUCUAAUUUUGAAACCAUGAGAUUGACUUGAGAAAGAUUGACAUAGGGCAAUGUCUCUCAACUUUAUGAUGGAAAACAUUUUUCAAACAUUUCUAAUGUAAAAUGUCUAUUAUUUAAAGACUUCAAAUGAAGCCUUCCUUGUUUAUUCAGUUUCCCCUUCACCUUCCCUUGUAGCUCCUGAAACUCUAUCAUAGAAUCCCAAGGCUUCUUUGAUCAUGGUUUUGAAAACAUUACUAUAAUAGAAAGAACCUUGAAAAAGGAGAGAGAAUACAUUUCUUAAUUAUAUCAACCUUGUGACUUUGAGCAACCCUCUUAACUCUGAGUUUCUUUUCUGAUAUAACUGAGAAUAAUAUCUGAUCAAUUUGUUGGACUGCUUUGAUCAUCAGUCUCAUCUCCCACUGCAAUUCUGCUCCCCAUUUAUACUUUAAUCUUCUAAUGUUGUAGGAUUAUUUGCCCUCCCCUAAUACUCUGCCAAUUUUUAUGACCCUGGGCCAUUGACCACUUUUUCUUCUAUAUCUAGAAUACAUUUUCCUUUUUUCUUUCAGUGAAAUCCCUACUUUUCCAGCAUAAAUGACAGCUUUCUGACCCAAUCAUAAUGAAGAGGGGUGUGUGUGUGUGUGUGUGUGUGUGUGUGUGUGUUUAAUCUGCAUUUGCAUGGCAUUUUGUAUAACAACUUUUUACACCAUGGCUGAGUUUUGAUAAAGAAAUAAUUGUAAAAUUUGUAUCUAUUUUAUCCGGCAUCUAAUAUAAUCCUUAGUAUGAAAUAGAUUCCCAGUAAUUGUUUUUAGAAUGAAUAAAUCAAAAACUUAAAGUUU